rnacentral:rRNA from 1 species
UGAACGCUAGCGGCAGGCUUAACACAUGCAAGUCGAGGGGCAGCAUGAUGAAACUUUCGGGUUUCAUUGAUGGCGACCGGCGCAAGGGUGCGUAACGCGUGAGCAACUUGCCCUUAUCAGGGGAAUAACCGGUGGAAACGCCGACUAAUACCCCAUAGCAUCACUUUAAGGCAUCUUUUAGUGAUUAAAGAAUUUCGGAUAAGGAUAGGCUCGCGUGACAUUAGCUAGAUGGCGGGGUAACGGCCCACCAUGGCGACGAUGUCUAGGGGUUCUGAGAGGAAGGUCCCCCACACUGGAACUGAGACACGGUCCAGACUCCUACGGGAGGCAGCAGUGAGGAAUAUUGGUCAAUGGUCGAGAGACUGAACCAGCCAUGCCGCGUGAAGGUCACGGCCCUAUGGGUCUUAAACUUCUUUUGUAAGGGAGCAAUAAGUCUCACGUGUGGGAUGAUGAGAGUACCUUACGAAUAAGCAUCGGCUAACUCCGUG